CCUGACCUCGGAUUAGGCGUGAUUACCCGCUGAACUUAAGCAUAUAAAUAAGCGGAGGAAAAGAAACUAAC
rnacentral:rRNA from 1 species